rnacentral:rRNA from 1 species
UACGUAGGGCGCAAGCGUUGUCCGGAAUUAUUGGGCGUAAAGAGCUCGUAGGCGGCUUGUCACGUCGAUUGUGAAAGCUCGGGGCUUAACCCCGAGUCUGCAGUCGAUACGGGCUAGCUAGAGUGUGGUAGGGGAGAUCGGAAUUCCUGGUGUAGCGGUGAAAUGCGCAGAUAUCAGGAGGAACACCGGUGGCGAAGGCGGAUCUCUGGGCCAUUACUGACGCUGAGGAGCGAAAGCGUGGGGAGCAAACAGG